ensembl:misc_RNA 7SK 7SK RNA
GGAUAUGAGGGUGAUCUGGCUGUAGCAUCUGUCACCCCACUGACCUCCAGGGUUGAUUUGGCUAAUCUGACUGACUAGGCAUGUGUCCCCUUCCUCCCUCAUUGAUCCACAUGAGUUCUUCCCAAAGCUGGAUGCUUGGUGGAAGAGAACAACCAGUCCCCAAAAGAGGAGGAUUGUUCCCAGGUCAAAGGUAUACAAGUAGUUACACUUCCCUGCUAGAACCUCCAAACAAGCUCUCAAAGAGUCUCUAUAGCAAAAAUAACAAUAAUUAUUAUUAUUCCUGUAUUUAAUAAUAAUAAUAAUUGUUCCUGUAUUUUAUAGG